rnacentral:rRNA from 1 species
UCGAUAACGAAACGAGACCUCGACCUGCUAAAUAGUACUGGUUAUUCAUUGGAUAAUCCAGGCACUUCUUAGAGGGACUAUCGGCGGUGUACCCGAUGGAAGUUCGAGGCAAUAACAGGUCUGUGAUGCCCUUAGACGUUCUGGGCUGCACGCGCGCUACACUGAUACGUUCAUCGAGCUUACAACCUUGACUGGAAGGUCUGGGUAAUCUUCAAAAGCGUAUCGUGAUGGGGAUAGAUUAUUGUAAUUUUUGAUCUUCAANCGAGGAAUUCCUAGUAAACGCGCGUCACUAACGCGCAUUGAUUACGUCCCUGCCCUUUGUACACACCGCCCGUCGCUACUACCGAUUGAAUGGCU